CCUGUUCCUCGCAAGACGUACACAAGCUGUCCACACUCAUUGGUGAGUUUUCUUUAUUUUCCGCACUAAUAUCAGGAAACAUUGGCUCGUUUGCCAUACUUAAUACCCUUUUUGUCCGAGACAACUUUUUUUAGUCAACUUUUCUGGUGAUAGAACUCAGUGAUAGAACUACAACGAUUCCUUGCAACGAUUCCAGUAAUCCACUGUCAAGGAAAUUUAUUUCCCUUCAGAAAGGAAAUUGUGACUUUUUCUAAUAAAAAUU